rnacentral:piRNA from 1 species
UGCUGCGGCCCUCCAAUUCAGUUCCUCAGU